CAUGCGCUUGUCUAAAACGCGACGAGCGAUUGCCAAGAGUGAUAACACGGGAGUGUGUUGCUUGCACCGGCAGUACACCUAGAAGAUAA
rnacentral:lncRNA from 1 species